UUCAGCAAGGUACAACUCUUGGCUCAGUUUUGCAGGAUGAAGUCAGGAGUGACACAAUGUCAAGAUGAUGAAAAACACCAAAUUGGCUGAGGUUUAUUGGAGCAUCCUUACAUCAACCACAUCUUCAAGAAAUGCAACUGAGAUUUGUUCUUGUGGAAAUGGCAAACCACACAGGACACCCUGGAGGAGUGGAGGAUCACCCCAGCCUGACAUCCAGCCACUUCAGAGAGGCAGAGAGAAACUCUCUAGAGGAAACCGUCCUUGUGUGCCAACCAGCAUCCAGCAGGACCCACCUUCCUCAUGUUCCCUUGUGCUGGAAAGGCCCAGCCUAUCCAAAAAGCCACUGCACAGCCCACGUGUCCAAGACCAGAGAUCAGUCUGUCGUGUCUCCCGUAUGAUGACAUUGCUGAGAGCUUCGGGGCAGGCACUGGCGGCUGAGGAGAAACAUCUCUGGAGAUGGAUCACUAGCAUCAGGAGACAGUGAACCUUCCACUCCCACAUGGAAAUUGAAAGGCACCGAGAGAUCCCAGGUUUGUGUCUUGUGGACGUUUCACGUCUGUGCCUUGGGAGCUCUGGGUGUCAUCAGAUAGAUGUAAGGGUCUUGAGAGGUAUCCUGUGGAGGAAGAAAUGCUCUGAUGUUGCCAUGGACCAGAAAAGGGAUCUGAGGGUUCAAGUUUCUUUGGCGAGCAUUCCCAAGUCAGGUGGGUAUGUUGAAUCUGCUGCUACUUCUUUGUGGGUGGAUGGCCACCUGAACUUCCAUGAUGUCGUGCCAGACGUAGG